AGUAGUUUGAUCCUGGCUCGAAGGACACGGCUGGCGGCACGCUUAACACAUGCAAGUCGAACGGACUUGAGAGGGCUUGCUCUCUUAAGUUAGUGGCGGACGGGUGAGUAACACGUGAGCAACCUGCCUUUAAGAGUGGGAUAACGGUCGGAAACGACCGCUAAUACCGCAUAACAUACACGAACCGCAUGGUUUGUGUAUCAAAGAUUUAUCGCUUAAAGAUGGGCUCGCGUCUGAUUAGCUUGUUGGUGAGGUAACGGCUCACCAAGGCGACGAUCAGUAGCCGUACUGAGAGGUAGAACGGCCACAUUGGGACUGAGACACGGCCCAGACUCCUACGGGAGGCAGCAGUGGGGAAUAUUGCACAAUGGAGGAAACUCUGAUGCGGCGAUGCCGCGUGAGGGAAGAAGGUUUUCGGAUUGUAAACCUCUGUCUUAAGGGACGAUAAUGACGGUACCUUAGGAGGAAGCUCCGGCUAACUACGUG
rnacentral:rRNA from 1 species